UCUCUCGGUUUCCUCGCCGCUUUGGUUCCCUAGGACCCCGUACCCCCACUUCGCGGCAGCAGCCAUGUAAUCGUAUGCAUCCAUGAAGCUGAUCGCUUGGCUGCCGGGUUUUUAUUCUGCGACGCUUUCGUGCAACUGGGUCCGUUGCCACUUAUGCCCACCAUGGCACCGUCAGCCCGAAUCGCCGCUGCGCCGGCCUGAAGACCCGGCGCAGCCGCAUUUUGUAGCCACGACGAGCCCUGGGCAACCGCCGACGCUUGGUUAGCUUCGCCGCCCGCCCUGCUUGUAAACAUGGCGGACGUCUCUGUCAAACCAGAACCAGAGGAGGAAGCGGCAGUCGUAGACACUGCAGAUGCCACAGCAGCGGCUGACCUGCAGACGACACCGGCGCAGGCAGCCGGGCGCCGCACACGCAAACCCGUCCAGCCUUUGGGGGGCGUGGUGACGCGAAGGACCUCAGCUCGACAGGUAGCGUCGUCGGCAUCCCGUGGAAGCGCGGCUACCGAAAGCAGCAACAGCACGCCGCGACAAGGCGCACGCGCAACGCGGCAGGCGGGGCCUCGCACGCGAGCCACACCCGCCGCAGCCGCGGAGGCGGAUACACCGGCCGCCACCACGCCGCAGCGGGCUAGCGGCCGGGGCACCUGGAAGCGCAAGAAGUCUGACGCGGAAGAGCUCUCCACAUCGGAGCCUGAGAUGGAGCAUGACGACUCCGAUUCUGAUCCGGUGUGGGUGCCAGAUGCGACGACAGGCAGCAAAGGUGCGGCUGGGGCUGACGCGGACUCGCCAACAGUGGCGAACGACAGCGCAGAGCCCAUGCCAAAGGUGGCGCGUCGCGGGAAGCCGGCGAAGGCGAACAAGGCGAAAGCUGGAGCGCGGAAAAGCGCGGUAACAACAGUGAAGAAACCCAACGGAGCUUCAAAGAGCGAGGCUGGAGCAGGAGGAGGAGGUGCGGCCAAAGGGGGGAGGCGCAGCAAUGUGCGCAAGACGGAACCGGCGGCAAGCAUCGACCUGGGCAGCGGCAUUGCAUCACCAGACUCACUUCAGCUCAAGGUGGAACUGCCUGGUGAAAGCGAAGAGGCGCGGCGGCAACGCUGUGUGCAGGGCGGCAUCGGUGGUGGGGUCAAGCGGGACUACACGCGCCGGCCUGCGACCAACACCAGCUCGUGGCGGACGCCGGUGCCAGUUGUGGUGACGGAGCCGGGCGCGGCCAACACAUCUGGAGAGCUGCAGCCGGGCGACUACAUCAUCGCAGUGACCGACGUGCACCGUGCACGGCCACCCAUCUGGCGCAUCGAGGGACGGUCGCUGCUGCAGCGCUUCGAGGCCCUUGAGACCGGCGAGGAGACCCUCCUCUACCGAAACAGCUCCUCCUUUUCGGCGUGGAACCCGCUGGAGCAGUCCAAGUAUGCCAACAUCUCGGUGCGGGUGCACUCCAACAGCCGGUCAGCCACCGUUGUCGAAGUGCUCGAGAUCCAUGCCAGUCCCAGCUCCAGCCUCACCAAGAAUGGUGGUAUGGAAGCCAGGCCCACGGCAUGUGGGGACCAGCAGCCCAACCUGGAGGAGAAGUUUGAGGUGUACCUGCAGACGCUGCUGAGCCACGUGCUGGACCCUAACUUCCUGGCCGAGGUGCGCCGCGAGAAUGACGAGUAUUUCCUCGCCAACCUGCAGACGGUAGACGGCGAGAAUGAGCGCCGCAGCGCCCAGAUUCGCAACGGCUUGUGGAGGCCCGAUCUGAUGGCGGCCAUCGCUGCAUACUCUGACCUACGUGUCACCGACCUUCCUCCCGGUCAGAAGGCUGCGGUGGCCAUUAAGAACGAGACCCAAAGCCCAGCGGGGGACGAAACUGUGGUGAAGAAGGAGAUAGUCGAGAAGCCGUGUGAGGGAUGUGGGGAAGGCACAGCCUCGCGAUUGGCCGAGUUCUCUGGCGAGCCCUACGACAAGAUGGACCUCUCCUUGGAGCCCCGCUGUGAGGACAGGCCCGAGGCGCGUAGCUUCCAGUUGUGCACCUCCUGUGCGAGUCACCUUCCUACCUACAGUCAGCUGUACCACUACAAGUACCACACCUUCAAUCGAUGCAGGGAGAAGAUCGAGCGCUUGAAGGAGGAGCAGAAGGUGACCGAGUCACAUAUCAUCCUCGAGCGUUGCCUGCAAGACGACACCUGGGUCAACCAGAUGUAUGCCAACCUGCAGAAGCUGUGGCGGACAUGUGCACUCGGGUCCAGUUGACCGGCUUAUUCAUCCACCGGCUGCCGCCGGCUUCCCUGGAUUUCCCUGUCCGCUGUCGUCAUCACUCCCAAGGCCUCCUUCAACGACACACAGCACACGCUUUUUGUCCUCCAAGAUUGGAUGACUUAAAAGCAACUCUUGGUUACAUCACGUGAUCUCGGAGACCAUGUCUGGCUUGAUCCAGUGAAUGCGCAUCAAAAGUGAUGCCCCCGCAAAACGGCGGCCAGGUAUACUGCUCAUGGGCUGAAGCCCAAGCAGACCAGGGCAACAGAAGUGGCAUGGUUGCUGUCUUUGUUAGCCAUUAGUCGGUGCCAGCUUGAAACAGGCUUCAGAGCCUCCCAGGUGUUCGUAACAUUGGGUGUCCGCACCAUAUUUGAGUUUGGUCACUCAAGUGUUUCUGGAACAAGGCACAAAAUGCUAAGGGCGUGUAGUUCUCCCAACCCCCCCCCCCCCCCCCCCCCCCCCCUUGUUUUUGUGGCGUUCAGUCGUGUCCUGCAAGGACCAGCAGUGGUGUGCCUGC
rnacentral:misc_RNA from 1 species